CGGGUGCACUGAUCCAGCCGGGCCUUUCCCUCUGUGGAACCCCAUGGCCUUCACUGGCUGUGGUGGGGAAACAGGACUUUUACUUUGAAAAAAUUAGAGUGCUCCAGGCAGGCCUAUGCUCGAAUACAUUAGCAUGGAAUAAUAGAAUAGGACGUGUGGUUCUAUUUUGUUGGCUUCUAGGACCGCCGUAAUGAUUAAUAGGGACAGUCGGGGGCAUCAGUAUUCAAUUGUCAGAGGUGAAAUUCGUGGAUCUAUUGAAGACUAACUACUGCGAAAGCAUUUGCCAAGGAUGUUUUCAUUGAUAAGGAACGAAAGUUAGGGGAUCGAAGACGAUCAGAUACCGUCGUAGUCUUAACUAUAAACUAUGCCGACUAGGGAUCGGACGAUGUUAUUCUUUGACGCGUUCGGCACCUUUCGAGAAAUCAAAGUGCUUGGGCUCCAGGGGGAGUAUGGUCGCAAGGCUGAAACUUAAAGAAAUUGACGGAAGGGCACCACCAGGGGUGGAACCUGCGGCUUAAUUUGACUCAACACGGGGAAACUCACCAGGUCCAGACACAGUGAGGAUUGACAGAUUGAGAGCUCUUUCUUGAUUCUGUGGGUGGUGGUGCAUGGCCGUUCUUAGUUGGUGGAGUGAUUUGUCUGCUUAAUUGCGAUAACGAACGAGACCUUAACCUGCUAAAUAGCCCGUACUGCUUUGGCAGUUCGCCGGCUUCUUAGAGGGACUAUCGG
rnacentral:rRNA from 1 species